rnacentral:rRNA from 1 species
ACUCCAUGAAGUCGGAAUCGCUAGUAAUCGUAGAUCAGAAUGCUACGGUGAAUACGUUCCCGGGCCUUGUACACACCGCCCGUCACACCAUGGGAGUGGGUUGCAAAAGAAGUAGGUAGCUUAACCUCCGGGAGGGCGCUUACCACUUUGUGAUUCAUGACUGGGGUGAAGUCGUAACAAGGUAACCGUAGGGGAACCUGCGGUUGGAUCACCUCCUUACCU